ACGAACGCUGGCGGCAGGCCUAACACAUGCAAGUCGAGCGGACCUUUCGGGGUCAGCGGCGGACGGGUGAGUAACGCGUGGGAAUAUGCCCUUCUCUACGGAAUAGUCCUGGGAAACUGGGGGUAAUACCGUAUACGCCCUUUGGGGGAAAGAUUUAUCGGGGAAGGAUUAGCCCGCGUUGGAUUAGGUAGUUGGUGGGGUAAUGGCCUACCAAGCCGACGAUCCAUAGCUGGUUUGAGAGGAUGAUCAGCCACACUGGGACUGAGACACGGCCCAGACUCCUACGGGAGGCAGCAGUGGGGAAUCGUAGACAAUGGGGGCAACCCUGAUCUAGCCAUGCCGCGUGAGUGAUGAAGGCCUUAGGGUUGUAAAGCUCUUUCAGCUGGGAAGAUAAUGACGGUACCAGCAGAAGAAGCCCCGGCUAACUCCGUG
rnacentral:rRNA from 1 species